rnacentral:rRNA from 1 species
AACGAACGCUGGCGGCGUGCCUAACACAUGCAAGUCGAACGGGAAAGCACGCAAGGGUGAGUACAGUGGCGCACGGGUGCGUAACACGUGGGUAAUCUGCCCAGAAGCCCGGAAUAACUCCCCGAAAGGGGUGCUAAUGCCGGAUGAGACCACGGGGACUUCGGUUCCUGGGGGAAAAGGUGGCCUCUGUAUACAAGCUAUCACUUCUGGAUGAGCCCGCGGCCCAUCAGCUAGUUGGCGGGGUAAUGGCCCACCAAGGCUACGACGGGUAGCUGGUCUGAGAGGACGAUCAGCCACACUGGAACUGAGACACGGUCCAGACUCCUACGGGAGGCAGCAGUGGGGAAUCUUGCGCAAUGGGCGAAAGCCUGACGCAGCAACGCCGCGUGUGUGAUGAAGGUCUUCGGAUCGUAAAGCACUGUCGGGAGGGACGAAUAAGGGCCGGGUGAACAAUCCGGUUCGACGACGGUACCUCCAGAGGAAGCACCGGCUAACUCUGUGCCAGCAGCCGCGGUAAUACAGAGGGUGCUAGCGUUGUUCGGAAUUAUUGGGCGUAAAGCGCGUGUAGGCGGCCGGCCAAGUCGGAUGUGAAAGCCCUCGGCUUAACCGAGGAAGUGCGUUCGAUACUAGCUGGCUUGAGUACCGGAGAGGGUGGUGGAAUUCCCGGUGUAGAGGUGAAAUUCGUAGAUAUCGGGAGGAACACCAGCGGCGAAGGCGACCACCUGGACGGAUACUGACGCUGAAACGCGAAAGCGUGGGGAGCAAAC